rnacentral:rRNA from 1 species
CAACAGUUACUGAACCCUAUCAAACUCCGAAUGCCAUAUACUUGUACCCCGGCAGUCAGACUACGAAUGAUAAGAUCCGUGGUCAAAAGGGAAACAGCCCAGACCAUCAGCUAAGGUCCCAAAGUGUAAGUUAAGUGGGAAAGGAUGUGGGAUUUCUAAGACAACUAGGAUGUUGGCUUAGAAGCAGCCACUCAUUUAAAGAGUGCGUAAUAGCUCACUAGUCGAGAGAUCCUGCGCCGAAGAUGUAACGGGGCUCAAACUUACCACCGAAGCUAUGGAUGUGUACUUUGUACACGUGGUAGAGGAGCUUUCUGUACAGGUUGAAGUCAUACCGUAAGGAGUGGUGGACAGUACAGAAGUGAGAAUGCUGGCAUAAGUAGCGAAAAACAAGUGAGAAUCUUGUUGACCGAAUAUCUAAGGUUUCCUGGGGAAGGCUCGGCCUCCCAGGGUUAGUCGGGACCUAAGCCGAGGCCGAAAGGCGUAGGUGAUGGACAACUGGUUGAUAUUCCAGUACCACCAUAAUGCGUUUGACAAAU